CAACCCUCGGGCCCACCCUUCACGGGGAUCGGGCCCGGCGUUGGGGACCGGAGGCCGCCUCGGCGGCACCCGCCCCCUAAAUUCAGUGGCGGUCGCGCCGCAGCCUCCCCUGCGUAGUAGCACACCUCGCACCGGAGAGCGGCACGGCCACGCCUCGAAACCCCCUAAUUUAUCAA
rnacentral:misc_RNA from 1 species